GUGUCUCAGAGAGUGGCUGCCA
rnacentral:piRNA from 1 species